rnacentral:lncRNA from 1 species
UCAAAAGCUACAUCAAAUCCUCAAACAGUCCUGUUGCGAAGUUUAAGUUCGGAGGAACGCAACUAGAUGUGAAACCUGCACCCGUUGUAGCUUCUUUCUCCUCUCGUGGGCCCAACUCCUUGACUCCUAAAGUUUUAAAGCCCGAUAUUACUGGACCUGGAGUGAACAUCCUGGCAGCUUGGACUGGCCGUGUGGGUCCGAGCGGAUUGGCUUUUGACAACAGGAGAGUAAAGUUCAACAUCAUCUCAGGAACUUCGAUGUCGUGUCCCCAUAUCAGUGGAUUGGGAGCUUUAUUGAGGGGAGCCCAUCCAACAUGGAGCCCAUCAGCGAUAAAGUCGGCUAUAAUGACUACGGCUACCGUUCUUGACAACAAAAAUAGUAUCUUGACUGACGAGGCCACCACAACUGAGGCAACUCCCUUUCAUUUUGGCUCUGGACACGUGCAACCUGAGAGAGCCUUGAAACCAGGUUUGGUAUAUGACAUGAGCCCCCAGGAUUAUGUGAAUUUUCUCUGUGCAGUGGGUUAUUCACCUAAAAGGAUUCAGAUUUUUACAAACGAGCCCGUCACCUGUCCAAGGACAGCCGUCCGAGUUGAGGACAUGAAUUACCCUUCAUUUUCAGCAGUCCUCAAGCACUCUUCAUCUACGCCAACUCUGACGACUAACUUUACGAGGACGGUGACGAAUGUUGGAUUUGCUAAUUCUACGUACUCCGCUUCUAUUAUUUCCCCUGAUGACAUUACCGUCACUGUGAAACCGGAGCAGCUGACCUUUAGCGCAGAAGGCGAGAAGCAGAGUUUUACUCUGGUGGUCUCGGCUACAAGUAAUCCCAUCAGCACUGUGGUGGGUGCUUCUGAAACGAAAUUUGCAUUCUUAGUGUGGACAGAUGGAAGCCACGUUGUUC